UGACUGUCCCGCUGCGUUCACUCGCAACAAACUAUUUAAACAAAAGCCCCGCCCCUUUCACAGCAUAAAUUAAGCCCCGCUCCUUCACUCGCUCAUAUUAUUCAAACUGAAGCUCCACCCACUUUUCUACGCAUUGCAGUGAACAGCCCCGCCCCAUCAUGCGCUUCACCGCCUAAUUAACAUAACAGCCCCGCCUCCUCACUCCCUUCACCACUUCAUUUAAAUGAUCGCCCCGACUUCUUCACGCGCUUCAUCCCUCAACCUUCACAACCGUCCUAGAGUCUCAUUGGAUUACGUAGAUAUAUGGCUCAAAACAUUAACGUUACCUCUCAUAUCAGUGCUCUUAUUAUUUUGUAAAAAUUCCGCCAAAAAAGAGAAGACGGUUUACCUCAAAUGCUCGCUAUUUCUCCCGUGUGUACGUGAACUACGAGAACAACUUAGGGGCUUGUGUCUACCGUGAGCAGUUCGAUUUCAACGCGGAGCCCCCUUGGGAUCCUAGCUGAUAGCUGGAGAGGUCGACCUCUGACCUAUCCCUUGGAUAUCGCUAGGACCCAAGAGCUCUGAG